UGUGGAUGUAAUCGAUCCCCUUAUAGUCUCCAAUCCCCCUGCCUAGAUUGCAACCGUUGAAAGCAAUAGGCAGCGAUGGGAAAUGGCACUCAGAGAUGAAUUAAUUUUUUCUUGAAAAGAAAAAGGAUGAGACAAGUGAAAUUAUAGAUCCUUCAGCAACCAGCGGGAACAAAAAAAUCUGAGCAAUGACUAAUGUAUAAUGAAGUGGUAUGGUUUGGAAAAGAAAUGUGUGUUUUGUA